GACGAACGCUGGCGGCGUGCUUAACACAUGCCAGUCGAACGGAAAGGCCCUGCUUUUGUGGGGUGCUCGAGUGGCGAACGGGUGAGUAACACUUGAGUAACCUGCCCUAGACUUUGGGAUAACUUCAGGAAACUGGAGCUAAUACCGGAUAGGAGCUCCUGCUGCAUGGUGGGGGUUGGAACGUUUCGGCGGUUGGGGAUGGACUCGCGGCUUAUCAGCUUGUUGGUGGGGUAGUGGCUUACCAAGGCAUUGACGGGUAGCCGGCCUGAGAGGGUGACCGGCCACAUUGGGACUGAGGUGCGGCCCAGGCUCCUACUGGAGGCAGCAGUGGGGAAUAUUGCACAAUGGGCGGAAGCCUGAUGCAGCAACGCCGCGUGCGGGAUGACGGCCUUCGGGUUGUAAAACGCUUUCGCCUGUGACGAAGCGUGAGUUGCGGUAAUGGGUAAAGAAACACCGGCUAACUACGUU
rnacentral:rRNA from 1 species